rnacentral:rRNA from 1 species
UGGGGAAUAUUGGGCAAUGGGCGCAAGCCUGACCCAGCAACGCCGCGUGAAGGAAGAAGGCUUUCGGGUUGUAAACUUCUUUUCUCAGGGACGAACAGAUGACGGUACCUGAGGAAUAAGCCACGGCUAACUACGUGCCAGCAGCCGCGGUAAUACGUAGGUGGCAAGCGUUAUCCGGAUUUACUGGGUGUAAAGGGCGUGUAGGCGGGGACGCAAGUCAGAUGUGAAAACCACGGGCUCAACCUGUGGCCUGCAUUUGAAACUGUGUUUCUUGAGUACUGGAGAGGCAGACGGAAUUCCUAG